rnacentral:rRNA from 1 species
GACGGAGGAUGCAAGCGUUAUCCGGAAUUAUUGGGCGUAAAGCGUCCGCAGGUGGCUGUUCAAGUCUGCUGUCAAAGCGCAGAGCUUAACUCUGUACAGGCGGUGGAAACUGAAGAGCUAGAGUAUGGUAGGGGUAGAGGGAAUUCCCGGUGUAGCGGUGAAAUGCGUAGAUAUCGGGAAGAACACCUGCGGCGAAGGCGGGUUGCUGGGCUGACACUGACGCUGAGGCGCGAAAGCUAGGGGAGCGAACGGG